rnacentral:rRNA from 1 species
CUACGGGCCGCUCCAGUGGGGAAUAUUGCACAAUGGAGGAAACUCUGAUGCAGCAACGCCGCGUGGAGGAUGACACUUUUCGGAGCGUAAACUCCUUUUAUAUAGGAAGAAGAUGACGGUACUAUCUGAAUAAGCGCCGGCUAACUCCGUGCCAGCAGCCGCGGUAAUACGGAGGGCGCAAGCGUUACUCGGAAUCACUGGGCGUAAAGAGCGUGUAGGCGGAUUAAAAAGUCAGAAGUGAAAUCCUAUAGCUUAACUAUAGAACUGCUUCUGAAACUCUUAAUCUAGAAUAUGGGAGAGGUAGGUGGAAUUUCUGGUGUAGGGGUAAAAUCCGUAGAGAUCAGAAGGAAUACCGAUUGCGAAGGCGAUCUACUAGAACAUUAUUGACGCUGAGACGCGAAAGCGUGGGGAGCAAACAGGAUUAGAUACCCUGGUAGUC